rnacentral:rRNA from 1 species
UACGGAGGGGACUAGCGUUGUUCGGAAUUACUGGGCGUAAAGCGCGCGUAGGCGGAUUUGCAAGUCGGGGGUGAAAGCCCGAGGCUCAACCUCGGAACUGCCCUCGAUACUGCAAAUCUCGAGUCCGAGAGAGGUGAGUGGAAUUCCUAGUGUAGAGGUGAAAUUCGUAGAUAUUAGGAAGAACACCAGUGGCGAAGGCGGCUCACUGGCUCGGUACUGACGCUGAGGUGCGAAAGCGUGGGGAGGAAACAGG